CAUUUCUUUUCUUUUCUUUUUAAAGCAUUUGGGCCCCACACAGGCCUUUGAAGACCUGAAGAAAGCCACACACCAGAAGUUACUCAGACAUCCAAACGCCUUGUGAACACUCUGGGGUUCCCGACAUUCUUGCACUCAAUGCCCAGACUCUGGGUUGUGUGCAGACAUCCCAGCUCCACCUGGCAGAGGAUGGCCCUCCCACUAGCAUCUAUAAACUGAAGGAAGAGAGCAGGAUGGUAAUGUGGGAAAGGACUUGCAACCGUGUGCUUUGCCCAAGUGACUCAAGCCUCUAGGCGACUUACAAUAAUCUCAAGUAACGACAGAGAAGAGGAGCCUUGGAAGGAAGCCUGGGGCUGCCAGGACUCUUCCUUGCUGUGGGUUGUAGAAGCUGGGUCAGCAGCCUUUCCUGUGAACUUACAACAAACACACCAAGGGUGUCUUUCAGCUGCCCUGGUACCACCCACACAGUGCAGGUACUGCGCCUGAGUGGGGUAUCUGAGGUGGGGCAAAUGGCUCACCCAUCAUGGCAAUUGUGGUUUGUCUCGUUGGACAUGGGCUGCAACCCUGAGCCGUGAUGAGAUAAAAGGUCAACU